GCCGCUAUCGUCUAGUGGUUAGGACAUGAGGUUUUCAUCCUUAAAACCGGGGUUCGAUUCCCCGUAGCGGUGC
rnacentral:tRNA from 1 species